rnacentral:rRNA from 1 species
AUUGAACGCUGGCGGAAUGCUUUACACAUGCAAGUCGAACGGCAGCACGAACUUCGGUCUGGUGGCGAGUGGCGAACGGGUGAGUAACAUAUCGGAACGUAUCCAAUAAUGGGGGAUAACGAGUCGAAAGAUUCGCUAAUACCGCAUACGCCCUACGGGGGAAAGCUGGGGACCUUCGGGCCUGGCGUUAAUGGAGCGGCCGAUAUCCGAUUAGCUAGUUGGUGAGGUAAAGGCUCACCAAGGCGACGAUCAGUAGCUGGUCUGAGAGGACGACCAGCCACACUGGAACUGAGACACGGUCCAGACUCCUACGGGAGGCAGCAGUGGGGAAUUUUGGACAAUGGGCGCAAGCCUGAUCCAGCCAUUCCGCGUGAGUGAAGAAGGCCUUCGGGUUGUAAAGCUCUUUCGCAAGGGAAGAAAACUUAGCCACUAACAUUGGUUGAGGUUGACGGUACCUUGAUAAGAAGCACCGGCUAACUACGUGCCAGCAGCCGCAGUAA